CAUGCUUCAAUUUCAUAAAAUUUAACGGAAGAAAUUCAAAUACAAUUGUUGCUGGAAUUAGGUUUGUAACUACAAAUUUCAUUUUUCUCCCAAGUGUCCAAUACAAAAAUGGCAAAGGGUUUGAGACUUUGAUGAUAAUUGGGGUCGACUGUUAAAAUUUAAUAAGAAUUCCCUAUAGGUCAAAAUCUCACUAAGCCAUAAUUGCAUCAGCUUUAUCGCGAUCUUGGCUACCACGAUCGCAGUGGAUGACCAAUCUUUACUGGCCACAACCACGACCCUCAAAAUUGUGACCAUGGUAACAGAGCCUGAUUCGUGUAGUGUCUUCAGUUAUGCACUUUUCCUCUUCUUUUAAUCUUUUUUUAACUUAAAUCCACAUCUUUUUAUUUCAUCACCUGUGUGUUUGAAAAAUGUGGAAAUUAGUGCAUUCAAGUAACACAUUUAUCUCAUCCAUACCUUUAAAAUGUAGUACUGUGCAUGAAUUUAGGAUACAAAUGAGUGGUAAAUUCACCACUCAUAACUAGUCUAGGGCAGAAUUUAUCUUAAACUGUAUUUUGGUGAUUUAGAAGUUGGCUCUGUGACCCACCUAAAGUCAGAAUCGAUGAUUAGUUCUCUUAAAAUCCUUUAAUUCUUGUUGAAUAUCUAGAGAAUGCCCUUUCGAGGCAAUAAUGAGGAACCAUAGUAAUUGAUUAUGCUGAUAAGGACAUUAAAAGUAAGAUUCAUGGACUAAUUGAUUGGAUUCUGGAAAUUCUAUGAUAAGCUAUGGAUCAAGUUAUGGUAAGUUAGGGAAAAUGCUAUGGAUUUCUCUAUGAAUAUGCUAUAGAUCAUACUUCGACAACUAUCGAUGAUCAAAUUAUAAACUAUCUUUUAUGAUAAUGAUAAACCAUUGAAUAUACUAUUAGUAAGUCAUUGCUCAUAUUGCUUAUGAUUAUGCUCUUGUAAAGAAAUUAGGAAAAACGUCACUCUAGAAAAUAUCCCUAUUGAUGAUAUUAGAAAUCAUUUAAUGAAUUAUGUUAGAAGUCAAGCUUAUUGAUUAUAUAGAAAGUUAUGCUAGUACUAAUGAUUUAAAUUGUCAUGCUUGAUUAUAUGAUAACUUAUGCUAUUGAUUUUGCCAUUGAGUAUGACGAUGUGGCUACCGGUUUAACUCCAGAUAUUAUGAUGAUAUAUUUAUACCAGGGAAGGACGAAGCAUGAUUAUGGUGAUAUAUUGAUACCUAACAAGGCUAGAGAAUGAUUAUGAUUAUAUAUUGAUACUCGAAAAGGCUGAAGAAUGGUUAUGAUGAUAUAUUGAUUCUCGAAUGGCUGAAGAAUAAUUAUGGUGAUAUAUUGAUACACGACAAUGCCGAAGGAUGAUAAUAAUGAUAUAUUGAUACCUGAUAAUGCAUAAGGAUGAU
rnacentral:lncRNA from 1 species